CUUGCUAUCUCAGGGGCUCCAGUGUGUGGGCAUGAUGCUAGAUGCAUAACAUAGAGCAUUGUUUAUCCUCAAGCAAAUCUGUAAAGCAGAGAGGAGCAUCCUAUUGUACAGAAGGAAAAACUAAGUCUCGGAGAAGAUAGUGCCUGAGAUUCCACUUCUAGCAAAUAAAAAGGCCUAGAUUCAGAUCUGGGUCUACCUGCCUGAUCACAAAGCCCUGCUCUUUCUAAUACCUGUUGUCUCAGACUGUAUGCCAGGAUUUGCUUAGAAAUGCAGGUGUUGUCAAUCACAGUGAGUAUGCACCUUAUUGCAGGCUUCCUGGACCUUCCCCCAGGCGUGUAAUAAAAAUGGAAGGUGAAAGAAGUAGAGUAUUUUGUCACAGGACAAAUCACUGUGGGAAAUACUGGAAGCUACAAACUUACUUUUGGAACAGGAACAAGACUAUUGGUAAAUGCAAGUAAGUUCCAUAAAAUAACCUGAUUCGUGUUACAAUUGAGGGACAUCUGUUUGCAUUGUUUUGUUUUGUUUUUUGAGGAGAGGGAGGCAUCACUUUGCUGCUUAAAUAAGAAGAUAAGCGGACAAUAACAAUGUUGUGUGUUAAAUGGUAUCCAUUAGCAUCAUUCCUGCAAGAAACAUAACAAACCUUUAGUAAAUAUGCAUGGAUAAAACUCCCCU
rnacentral:lncRNA from 1 species